CGUACACUCCUACGGGAGGCAGCAGUGGGGAAUAUUGCACAAUGGGCGCAAGCCUGAUGCAGCCAUGCCGCGUGUAUGAAGAAGGCCUUCGGGUUGUAAAGUACUUUCAGCGGGGAGGAAGGCGAUAAGGUUAAUAACCUUGUUGAUUGACGUUACCCGCAGAAGAAGCACCGGCUAACUCCGUGCCAGCAGCCGCGGUAAUACGGAGGGUGCAAGCGUUAAUCGGAAUUACUGGGCGUAAAGCGCACGCAGGCGGUCUGUCAAGUCGGAUGUGAAAUCCCCGGGCUCAACCUGGGAACUGCAUUCGAAACUGGCAGGCUAGAGUCUUGUAGAGGGGGGUAGAAUUCCAGGUGUAGCGGUGAAAUGCGUAGAGAUCUGGAGGAAUACCGGUGGCGAAGGCGGCCCCCUGGACAAAGACUGACGCUCAGGUGCGAAAGCGUGGGGAGCAAACAGGAUUAGAAACCCCAGUAGUCCCAUG
rnacentral:rRNA from 1 species